CCUGUAAGUCUCGACCUUAGGGCCCCAUCGGGCCAUUUUUGUGGCCUGGUCUGGCUGGAGAAGGAGGAAUUUUGAGACUGUGUGGUGAUCGCCGGAUGCUGCUCUUCUGACUCUAUUCCCAAAAGAGACUCUGUGCAAGAAUUGGUUCCCAUGGGGUUUGGAAUAUAAUCUGAAUGAAAUCCCAAGACAAUGGAGGAGUUUCCCCUAAUGACGUUAAGCACCUGCUUGGCUGGGAAAUGAAUUGGAGGUGGAGGAACUCAGUCAUCCGGGGUACCGGCAGCAGGAUGAAGUGUUCCUUUCAUCACUACCUUUAUUUCC